UGGACAGUGGCCCCUCAUUUCUUUCC
rnacentral:piRNA from 1 species